AGUGAACGCUGGCGGUAGGCCUAACACAUGCAAGUCGAACGGCAGCACAGUAAGAGCUUGCUCUUACGGGUGGCGAGUGGCGGACGGGUGAGGAAUACAUCGGAAUCUACUUUUUCGUGGGGGAUAACGUAGGGAAACUUACGCUAAUACCGCAUACGACCUACGGGUGAAAGCAGGGGAUCUUCGGACCUUGCGCGAUUGAAUGAGCCGAUGUCGGAUUAGCUAGUUGGCGGGGUAAAGGCCCACCAAGGCGACGAUCCGUAGCUGUUCUGAGAGGAUGAACAGCCACACUGGAACUGAGACACGGUCCAGACUCCUACGCGAGGCAGCAGUGGGGAAUAUUGGACAAUGGGCGCAAGCCUGAUCCAGCCAUACCGCGUGGGUGAAGAAGGCCUUCGGGUUGUAAAGCCCUUUUGUUGUGAAAGAAAAGCAGCAGGUUAAUACCCCGCUGUUCUGACGGUACCCAAAGAAUAAGCACCGGCUAACUUCGUG
rnacentral:rRNA from 1 species